UCUCGGAUCAAAAUGGCCAUGAUCUUUCUUGGAUCAAAUCAUUCACUUAAAAAGCCUUUCAAGGCUGUCCCAGGAUGAGCUCCUGGCCGGCUGUCCCACGUACGAAAGCCCGUGAGAGGCUGUCCCAGGCAUAAGCUCCUGGCGGGCUGUCCCAGGCAUGAGCUCCUGGCCGGCUGAUCCACCUGUAAGCCAGUGGGGGCUGUCCCAGACAUAAGCUCCUGACGGACUGUUCCAC
rnacentral:lncRNA from 1 species